UAUACUCUCACACAAGUCAUACACACUCACACACUCAUACACACCCACAUUCAUACAACCCUACACAUGCACAUACAUAUUCAUCGAAACACACACACAUCUACCGAAUCAUAUGUGUACUGAGUCACACACAGAAUCAUACAAAUUUACACUCCCACGCUCAUGCACACACAUACACAGUCAUACACACAGCCACACAGCAAGUCAUGUACACUCCCACACUCACAGUCAUACCACACUCACGUACAAGUCCAGGACCGCCUUCUCCUGGCAACAGUGAAAAGGAAGCAGGCAGGUGCUCCCAGCUGCCACAAUGUCCUCAGAUCCACACUCAGCAGGGCAGUCAGGGACACGUUCCCAAGGAGGGAGGGUAUCGCGCUCAGCGUCACUCUCCUGCAGGCACUUCAUUAGCGUGGUGGCAGCCAUUGCUUCGCGGAGAAGAGGGUCAAGAAUAUGCCAACUGCUUGUUGCUCCCAAGGUCAAAGCAAGUGGGCAAAUGUUAGUGUUCCCUCUUGAGGGCUCACAGGACAACUAGAAAAUGAGCUGGGGCCAGGGCGUGGACCUAGGAGUGGGCUGCUGGUCGCUAUGACAGCACAAUAGCCUGUGACAUCACAGAAGAGGCCAUGCCAGGAAGGGGCAGGCAGCACAGGAGCUACUCUGGGCCUCAGAGCAUGGAGCUCACCUGCCUUUCUGGUGUCCAGCUUCCCAAAGAGAAAUGUCUUCCUCAACUACCUGAUACAGAAAGCUCUAAUGGUGCACCAAGAUCAAAGUCUACUGUUCCACAGGAAAUGUUAUUGUUGGAUAAAGAGAAAUGUGCAGACACCCCGCAAAAAGACACAAUGCUUCACCAGAUCGUUGAUGUUUGAGGAAAAAAAAGCUGUACAGUAUUUUUGGAUCCAGCCACCUCUACCAGAAUGUUACAGAUGACUCCCAUCCUCAUUGCCACCAUGAAUUGAAAUGAUGAGAGUUCUGAAUCAUUCUCCCAGGAUAAACACUGCUUAAAACUGACCCCGAAGACCUGUUGAAAACACACAUUUGGACUGAAAUUAGAUGACAGAAUCUAUGUGACUUGGGCACCAGUCUUGACUCAUUCAACCUGGAUUGUGAUGACACAAGUAAUAUUCGCAGUUUAUGGUUUUCUGAGCAUCUGCUUCCUCAUAGACAGUUGGAAGUGAUUCUAUUUCUUAAUUUCUCUGAGUCGCUGGUAUCAAGAUGACUAUCGUUUUUGCUAUGUGGAAGCAGGAAUCCUUUUUUCAAGAUUACAAGCAAGGCAGGAGCUCUGGUACACUAGGACACUGGUCACAGGCACAAGCAAUUUAAA